rnacentral:rRNA from 1 species
AAUCAACGCUGGCGGCGUGCCUAACACAUGCAAGUCGAACGAGAAGGUGACUUCGGUCACUGGAUAGUGGCGUCCGGGUGAGUAACACGUAGGUAAUCUACCUUCGGGUGGGGAAGUAACGUCUCGAAAGAGACGCUAAUACCGCAUAAUGCAGCGGCACCUAAUGGUGAUUAGUUGUUAAAGCGGGGGAGUCUUCGGACCUCGCGCCUGAAGAGGAGCCUGCGGCAGAUUAGCUAGUUGGUGAGGUAAUGGCUCACCAAGGCUUCGAUCUGUAGCUGGUCUGAGAGGACGGCCAGCCACACUGGCACUGACACACGGGCCAGACUCCUACGGGAGGCAGCAGUGGGGAAUUUUGGGCAAUGGGCGAAAGCCUGACCCAGCAACGCCGCGUGAAGGAGGAAAUCC